UGAUGCCCAGCUUGCUGCCGCGGAUUAGUGGCGAACGGGUGAGUAAUACAAUGAGUAACCUGCCCUUGACUCUGGGAUAAGCCUGGGAAACUGGGUCUAAUACUGGAUACUACCUCUUACCGCAUGGUGGGUGGUGGAAAGGGUUUUACUGGUUUUGGAUGGGCUCACGGCCUAUCAGCUUGUUGGUGGGGUAAUGGCUCACCAAGGCGACGACGGGUAGCCGGCCUGAGAGGGUGACCGGCCACACUGGGACUGAGACACGGCCCAGACUCCUACGGGAGGCAGCAGUGGGGAAUAUUGCACAAUGGGCGGAAGCCUGAUGCAGCGACGCCGCGUGAGGGAUGACGGCCUUCGGGUUGUAAACCUCUUUCAGUAGGGAAGAAGCGAGAGUGACGGUACCUGCAGAAGAAGCGCCGGCUAACUACGUGCCAGCAGCCGCGGUAAUACGUAGGGCGCAAGCGUUGUCCGGAAUUAUUGGGCGUAAAGAGCUCGUAGGCGGUUUGUCGCGUCUGCUGUGAAAGCCCGGGGCUCAACCCCGGGUCUGCAGUGGGUACGGGCAGACUAGAGUGCAGUAGGGGAGACUGGAAUUCCUGGUGUAGCGGUGAAAUGCGCAGAUAUCAGGAGGAACACCGAUGGCGAAGGCAGGUCUCUGGGCUGUUACUGACGCUGAGGAGCGAAAGCAUGGGGAGCGAACAGGAUUAGAUA
rnacentral:rRNA from 1 species